UAUUGAUUGGUGCUUGCAUCAUGAUUUACAUUUGAGUGAGUGGCGAACUGGUGAGUAACACGUGGGAAACCUGCCCAGAAGCGGGGGAUAACACCUGGAAACAGAUGCUAAUACCGCAUAACAACUUGGACCGCAGGUCCGAGUUUGAAAGAUGGCUUCGGCUAUCACUUUUGGAUGGUCCCGCGGCGUAUUAGCUAGAUGGUGGGGUAACGGCUCACCAUGGCAAUGAUACGUAGCCGACCUGAGAGGGUAAUCGGCCACAUUGGGACUGAGACACGGCCCAAACUCCUACGGGAGGCAGCAGUAGGGAAUCUUCCACAAUGGACGAAAGUCUGAUGGAGCAACGCCGCGUGAGUGAAGAAGGGUUUCGGCUCGUAAAACUCUGUUGUUAAAGAAGAACAUAUCUGAGAGUAACUGUUCAGGUAUUGACGGUAUUUAACCAGAAAGCCACGGCUAACUACGUGCCAGCAGCCGCGGUAAUACGUAGGUGGCAAGCGUUGUCCGGAUUUAUUGGGCGUAAAGCGAGCGCAGGCGGUUUUUUAAGUCUGAUGUGAAAGCCUUCG
rnacentral:rRNA from 2 species